GUCAGCUGAUUGGCGGGAGGGCAUCUGAAAUUGAGAGGAGGUUUCAGGACUUUUACCCAGCCCUUUAGUGGGGAUCUGUCUGGGACUGUGCAGUCUGAACCUGCAACUGUAAAAGGCAUGGUCCCUGGAAACAACCGUGGUGCUGUCCAGCAGCGUGUUGAACAGGAAGUUGUGCGUGUGUAAACCCCAAGCCUGUGGCACCUAGCAGUGAAAUGAAAAGCAAGCAACAGAGCCAAGCAUUUUGAGAUAAUGUGGUCUUGUCCCUCCGUCCACCAGCCAUCAUCACCUGCAAUUCAAAUUCCACUUCCCAGAGAGGGAGGAAACUGGUGGCAGCCACAUGUGCAGCACAGCAGUGUCGGCUCCAGCAACACCGCAGU